CGAGAUGACAGAUCAGCCAGA
rnacentral:misc_RNA from 1 species